rnacentral:tRNA from 1 species
GCUCCGGUGGUGUAGAAGUAAGUUAUAUUGCACAAUCCGGUCAAGCAUUGCGGCCUUUCGAGCCGCGGAUCCCGGGUUCAAAUCCCGGCCGGAGCA